rnacentral:lncRNA from 1 species
GCUGAUUGUAAAUAUUAAUAGAGUUCUUAUUGUAAUAUAUCAUUGUAUAAAAAAACAAAAAAAUCACGACUCAUAUUCGAAGAGGUGUUAGAAUCUCCCAUCAUAACUCUCCAUGUAUAUGUGUGACCCACUUCAAUUUAUACAAUCGCUAAGGAUGAGAAUCUUAAUUAUUCGACCAUUGCAUAGAGUUAAUGAGGGCAUGUAAUAAUUCCAUUUUUUGGCUUGUAGUUAUAACAUAAAUUUAUUAAACCCAUGUGACUUUCUGAAUAUUUCCACGUUGGCCAUCUCCAAGAAUAACAAUAUUAAACUAGAGCUUAUUUAUCUCCAAAAGCAUUUUGGCCACACUUUUGGACUUAUAUGUAGCUAGAUUGGCUUAGUUUGUUAAUAUAAUUACAAUGAACACGUGAAUUCACAAAGUGAUUCUAUUCAUUUAUGUCGCGUUCUAAAUCGCUAUGGAAGAAUAUCAAUAUGCCAAAAAGUAAAAAUUAAUAAAAAAAUAUUUUAAUUUCUACGUAUCACACUCUCUCCACUAAAAUUGUGCCACGUAUCUCGUGAGUUGCUCGAGGCCUACAUGUGAUCGCCGAAGCUCGAGUCACUCCACACAAAUAAUUGUCAUUAGGGGCCUUCAUAUCACAAAUAAUUAAAAAGCCGUUUGGACUUUAUAAAAGAAAUUAUUUUUACCCCUUUCUAAAUAAACCACGUAUAUGAUAAUUUUCUAGUACAACGUUCUAAAAUAAACUUUUUUUUCCCCUAACAUACACAUGACAUAAACAUGUACUUAUAUAUCAUACUUCAAUCAGCAUCAGUUCUU